CCUUCGGCAGACACAGGAAGCCUCCCAGCAGAAUCAGAUGCAGCUGGCCCUGGCUUUUCAGUUCAUGCAGACUCUGGGCUCGCAAAUGGGUCUUUCACCACCGCAAUUCACUCAGACUAAUAUCCCUGCGCGUGCAGCUACCCCUACUCCUCCUCAAUCGGCGGCAUCAAAUGAUGGGCCAACAGAAAUGUCCCCUUCGCCGAUGCCUCAGAAUGUGUGGCCGCCUCCUCAAUGGGUGACUUACAUGCAGCAGUUCUAGCAGAACCCUUCGUGGUCGCAGCACCCGCCGCCGCCGCCGUAGUCGUGAGUUGUGCUUGUAUGGACAUGCACUCUUUGUAUAGACUAUCGUUUGAACUUGUGCUUGUAUGGACAUGUAUGAACUACCAGUGCUUGUAUGGACUUGUAUCGACUA